GUCACGUGUCAAUCACUAGCUCGGGCCGGGUAAGCUGCACACACUUCCUUCAAGCAGAUAUUGUCGGAUAUAUAAAUUGUGAAUGUUGUUAUGAACGUGUUUUCAAAACACAUUCACAAGCAAUAGGGCCCCUUGAAUAUCGGCAUUAGAGUUGAACUUCAGCAACCCAUGCUUGUGGGUUGGAAGUUCUGUUUGAAGACGACCCAUACACCAAGAGGCGCUACUUCCGGCAGGUGAAAUUAUAUCUUGAUAG